GACUUCCUGUCUCGUUUCAUAACAUCGUAACUGUGUAUAAUGUAGCGUUCUCCCGUCUUAAGUAAGCGACCGUCAUUCAUUGCUUCCUGUCUUAGAAAUGACCUGCAUUAAGCGGCUGUUCUCUAAAGGACCUCGCUCCAAAGUCGCGUGGUUGAUGAUUGGUGAAGCUCUCACCUCCUGCAGGUGCUUCCAUGCUGAACUAGUGAGACACGAAUCUAGCGCGCUUCCAGUAGUUCAUCACAGCAAGUAUGUGUGUGACCUCCCACCCAAUCAUAGGUUUCCAAUGGGCAAGUUUCCCCGGGUUUUACAGUGUUUGCUCGGAGAUCAGGUCAUUACAGAGAAACAGGUGUGGGUCCCUGAAAUUGCCUCUAAGGAUUUACUGAGGUGUGUGCACACUGAGGACUACCUGGACAACUUCAUAAAUGGGAAAAUAAGUGAGCAAGAGCAAAGGAGGACAGGCUUUCCCUGGAGUGAAGGCAUAGUGAGGCGCUGUCGAUAUGAAACAGGUGGGACUGUUUUAGCUGCUGAAGUCGCUCUGCAGAGGGGUCUGGCUUGCAGCACAGCAGGAGGAACUCAUCAUGCUUUUCCCAGCUAUGGUUCGGGGUUUUGUCUCCUCAAUGAUCUUGCAGUCGCAGCCAAAUACACGAUGGACAAUUCUCCUAAUUCCCCUUCUACUAAACGCAAAGUUCUCAUUGUGGAUCUAGAUGUUCAUCAGGGUGAUGGCACCGCUUUCAUCUUUAAAGAGGAGCCUUUUGUGUUUACAUUCUCAGUGCACUGUGGGAAAAACUUCCCACUUCGUAAACAACAGAGCGACCUUGAUAUCAGUGUGGAGGAUGGGCUGGAGGACAAGGAUUACCUCUCCACAGUUGAAGCCCACCUUCCCUGGCUGCUGGAAACCUUUCGCCCAGACCUGGUUUUGUAUGACGCAGGGGUUGAUCCUCACUGGGAAGAUGAACUCGGAAGGCUUCGCCUGACAGACCAAGUGUCCCUUAGGGCUCUAUCAGAGAGAUUUGUUUGUGCUGAAGACUGUGGUGAAAAGAGGUGUCCCUAUCGCUGCUGUUAUUGGUGGAGGAUACUCUAAAGACAUCGAUAGACUGGCACUCAGACACUCUAUCGUCCACAGAGCAGCAACUCAGGUUUGGAGGGAGUGUGGUAUGUAAAACUUGCCUCCCUAAUCAAGAGGAUCCUCAGUGGGUAGCUGACAUUUGAGAGUCAAUGCCAUGGUCAUUUGUAAAGUUACAAAAAUGUAGAAACUGACCAGUACUUCAGUUACUUUGGCAUAUUUAUUUAAUUUACACAGUUGAGAUUAACUGUAGGAGUGAUACAUCUUAUGCGGUCACAUAUUAGAACUUAUUUCACUCAUUUUUGGUUCGUUGCAAUGAUGAUCUUGUAACUACAAUUAUAUUGUUAUAGGGACAUCACAGCUACCAUAACAUAUUUUUUACAUUCAUCUGAAAAAGAAGGUUUUUAUGGAACUCAGUACAGUCCUGUGGAAAAACUGUUUAUAUAGGAAUCAAGAGGUGCUGCUUAUCAAAUGCUCUUGAUUAAUUGGUCAAAAACACAAAAGCAGAGUUUCUGGUAGUUUUCUGGACUGGAGCUUUCAGCUCCCUGUUAAUGCCACAAUCUUACCAGGAGUGGAAAUUCCACAAAAUUCACUCAAAGGUCAGACAAUACAACUCUCAGGGAGGAUUUCUUUUUUUUUCUUUUCUUUUUUUUUUUUUUUUUUUUUUUUGGGGGGGGGGCAUAAAAACUAAGAGCUAAAAACUUUACAAGCUUCAGGUAGUAUCGGAAAUGUUAACAUUCCAAUGCAAUUAGAAAAAAAACUGCAUUUAAAUAAACUUCUGCAACAAUGUUGCUGAUGAGACUAAAGUAGAGAUGCUUGUCCAUAAUGGAUAGCGCCAUUUUGGGUACAAAAUACAGCAUGUCAAUGCAAAGACCACAUAUCAGCUCACAAGGUGGAGGGAUUCGGGUUUGUUUUGUAUCCACAGGAUUUGGGAACCUUGCGGUCAUUGAGUCAACCUCGAUCUACAAUAAAAUGUUUGAAAAAGAAAAGACUCAAGGUGUUGUAGUGACCCAGACCAGAUUUAAAUGCUAGUGUGGUGUGGCUUUUAAGAGCUGUGCAUAAAUGAACGCCAAUAAACAUUAAUGAAUUGAAGCAAUAUUAAAAAGAAGAGGAUUUCACUACAACGUGAGAGACCAAUACAGUCAUACAGUAAAAUAAUUGAGUUAUUGCAUAGACUGCAGAGUCCAGUGGAAAUCUUCUUCACAUGACUACAUGUUAAAAAAUUAUUUAAAAAUCCUCACAAAUCAAAUAUUAAGGCUUUCAUUUGUAGGCUGGUGAUGAUUCUAGUAUAGUAUGUGCAAGUUGGCUAUAAAGGCUUUUAGCUUACCAUUUACCAAAUUGUACCUGUGUGACAAUGAAUAAACUGUACAUG